AAUAAAUAUAGUUUUAUACUAUUCACGUUCAAUAUUUGAUCGUUCAUCUUAUUUAAAAUUUUUUAAUAAUUAUUAUUUUUAUUGCUAUUAGAUGAUAAAAUAUGAAUAGUACUUUAUGUGUAACUAAAUAUUUUCAAAUUUUUCACAAAAUUUUCUAAUAAGACGGACGGUCAAAUGUUGGGCACGGAUAU
rnacentral:pre_miRNA from 1 species